GGCGGCCGCGUGGAUCAGCCUCGCGCCGCGCGGCGCGUGUUCGUGUGGGGCGUUCCGGCCGGUUGAAGGUCACAGCGCCCCGCGAGGCGGCCUUGGCCCGCGUGCGGCAGAGGGGCCUACGGGGGUGCGCGUCCGGGUGUCGCCUUCUCGAAUCAGCCAUGACAGGAAAUUGGAGGCGGUUUCCCGUAAAAGAGCAUUUACGAUCGGGCUGACGUGUGUUGUGCCGGGAGGGAGGUUGGGUGCGCGGAACCGGGAGCCCGGAGCCGGCCGCCCCGCAGUGUUUCUGCUGCAGCCGCCGAGCUGGGCUGGGGAUGUGCCUACACCGCCCGCUGCAAACCGCUGCAGAACGCUUCGGGGUUCGUGCGGAAGGACUUCCCGGGAGCGCAGAGCUUUUGCUUGGGGGCGUGCAUGCUGCAGUAGGAGCCCUGCUGCUGAUCUGUUACGUUGCACACCGUAUGCUCUGCCAUGGAGCCCAGGUCAAGUCGGGGUCACAAAACAUGCCCAAAAUACACCAAAGAGGAAAAAGGCGAUUGCUUCUACAUGUCAAAAUUACAGAAAGCUUUUUACCCCGUGUGAGGUUUGCCUUUUUCCAAUUUUUCCAUUUGUUAAAAUGAACAUAAAUUGCUUUUGUAGUCAGAUUUUUUUAAAAGAUUUUAUUUAUUUUUUGACAGAGAGGCAGCAAGAGAGGAAACACAAGCAGGGGAGUGGGAGAGGGAGAAGCAGGCUUCCCGCCAAGCAGGGAGUCCGAGCCCCGCAUCCCAAGACCCUGGGAUCAUGACCUGAGCCGCAGGCAGCCGCCUAACGACUGAGCCACCCAGGUGCCCCUGUAGUCAGAUUGUUAAAAAUCAAAUGAAACCCACAGAACUCGAGCUCUUCAGUGAAGUUUGAAAACCCAUUUAUUCUAAACUAAAUAGCUCUGAAGGAAUCGUGCCUCAUCCUGGUCACUCUUGCAUUACCAGACCCAAGGAGGCCGCCCAGAUCCCAUCUAUGAUUUAACAUUAUUGCACUAGAAAUUUUGUUUUGUAGAAUGAAUUAAGUCGAUGCAAACAUCAAGGGUCACCAAGCCUGGUUAACCACCACCUCUUCCCAGGAUGGGUCCCAAAGUUGAUGGAUUUCUUACUAUGGGACCCUGGGAGCAAUAACCAGCUUUGGAGCCUUAGGCAAGGCAGUUUCCUCAUGGGUUCAUUGGGAGUAAUACCUUUCUGACCUUACACAGGAGAAAUGAGGUAAUGAAGGUAAGGGGCCUACCACAUUAAUAACUAGGGCCUUCUUCCUCUUUGUUCUCACCUUUCCCACUCAAAUGUUAGUUUUCUCUAAACAGCUCUUCCCACGCAGUCAGUGCAAUGGAAUAAGGAUUUACAGAGACCCUGCCUAUUUGUAUAGGUUGGAGCAUUCCCAUGAAGUUGGAUACAUUUUUGUUCUUCAAAAAGCUCCAGAUCUGGGGCGCCUGGGUGGCUCAGUCCUUAAGCGUCUGCCUUUGGCUCAGGUCAUGAUCCCAGGGCCCUGGGAUCGAGCCCCGCAUCGAGCCCCGCAUCGGGCUCCCUGCUCGGCAGGAAACCUGCUUCUCCCUCUCCCACUCCCCCUGCUUGUGUUCCCUCCCUCGCUGUGUCUCUCUGUCAAAUAAAUAAAGUUUUUUUUAAAAAUAAAUAAAUAAAUAAAUAAAUAAAAAAGCUCCAGAUCUGAUUGGGAGACAGAUUGGGGACACAAAAAGCCUGGCUGUGACCACAUGCUGAACCAAAUUCCUAGACCAGGGAAUGGGGUGAAUGCUUCAGGAGAUAGCCCAGUGCUUCCCAGAGGGGGACAGAAAGAUCUGGAACAACAUCUGUACCUUUGGGAAAGGGUGUGGCUCUUCUUUGGCCAAAGACAGCAUGUCAACCUUCUCCAUGUGACAGCUUGUCCAGUAGCCGAGGGAGCCUGUGUCCUGGUUCUGCAGAGAAAACGGUGCUUCGGGAUUAACCACUUGUCUAUAAUUGCCAGUUGUUUAUGCCCUUGCCCAGUGUUCAAGGUCAGCAGUGGGGGUGGGGAAGGGCAAUCCCAUAGCAAAAACAUCAUGAAUUGUCUUUAUAAAGCGCUGAUGGAUUUAUACUGGUCUCUCACCUUACAGUCCCCCACCUUCCCACUUUGGGAUUUUUUCCUACUUUCUCCCAAAGUUGACGGGCCAUUUCUGUCCCUGCGUUUCAGCAAAACUUCUCAGAAGAGCUGUUAAUAUAUACACUCUCUGUCCUCUACCCACCCCCCUUUCUCUUUUGAACCCGUUCCAUCUGGGUUUUGUCUCUGCGGCUCAAUGUAUCAAGGUCACUAAUUCCAAGUUGUUAAAUCCAGUAAUCCGUUGUCAGAAGUCAUCUCUCUUGAAACGCUUAUUCCUUGCCUUCCAAGACACCACACACUGCUAUUUUUCUGGCCAUUUUGCUCAGCCUGCUCUGCUGGUUCUGCCCCAGGGGAGGCCCAGACCUCUCCCCUGAAUUCUGGACACAUGCGUCCUCUUGCCUGGCCCACACGUCACCCCAAUUCUGUAGUAAGCAUCUCAUGCUCCCCCUGAAAUUGCUGCUCACGGUCUUCCCCGUUGGAGUUUCUUCCUUCUUAUUGCUUAAGCUAACAACUGAGGAGUCACCCGUGACUUGUUUCUCUCCCAGCCCUCAUCCAGCCCACCAGCAAAUCCUGCCAGCUCUGCAUUCAAAUCAAUAUGGAGUAUCAGAUAUGAAGCAAUAGGGACUCGCAUAUGCUGACGGUGGAAAUAUAAGUUGGUGCAGCCUCUUUGGAAAAUAGCUGAAGAUAAUUGUUAAAGUUGGAAAGAGCCAUAGCGUUUGACCCAGAAAUCCUACUACCAGGUACAUUGCCAAUAUAUUGAACAUGAGGUCACCAGAUAGGCUUCGAAGAGGAGUCACAGCAACACUGUUUGUGAUAACCCCAAACUGGAACUCACAUGUCCCUCAGCAGCAUACCAGCUUGAGAGAUUGUAGGACACUCACCAGUGCAACACCGAGUAGUGAAAACCCGUGAACUUUAACUACACGCAAGGAGGAAUCACAACGUGGAGGAAAAGAAGAAAGAUCCAGAAGAAUAUAUAGUAUCAAGCCACGUGUACGUAGAGCAAACACUCUAUCUGUGCUGUUAUCAAAAAGGAGACGCUGGACACUUCAUGAUUACGCAUCUUGUCCACGCAAUGCAGUGGACAAGCACCUCAGUCUAUUGCCAGUGGGAAACCUGCAGAUCCAGAAGGGUAGCCUCCAUUCACAGAGGGAGGACCAGCAUCUCAGGGAGGACGGCAGAGGCUGCGUAGAGACCUCACUGGCACCCACCCCACCCCCAGCACAUGUAAGAUCGAGCCCUGGGACUUGGGGCCCACAGUGAACACCUCAGAAGUAAUAAACCACGCAUUUGAAAGCAGGAGCCAUAAUGCAAGAGGGCAAGCCAAGAACAAAUGGGUCAUUAUAUGGAGAAGACACAUGGAGAUUCAUCUUCCAAACAAAGCAUUUAGAAAUCAUCUCUACAACUCUAAGUAGGUCAUGCUGUAAAUGUACAAUGAGAGCCAUGGCCGGGCGCGGGCACGUUAACGUGUUAGUGAGAGGCGGUCUUCAAAGCGCCUUUAGCCUGUGAGAGUUCCACUCCCUUCGGAGCCCCUCGGCCCUUGGUCAGCGGGGUGUGAAGCUCUGUGGCUCCACCUAGAGGCCGAGCCCCCCAGCGCCGCCUCCUUCCCUCCGCCAGGCCCUAGCCUGGGCUCCGCCGGCCUGCAGAUCUUGCUCAAAAUCAGAAUAAAUUUCCCCUUACUAAAACUUAUCCCGGGAGCCCUGUGAUGACAACAGAAGCCACUCAGCGUGAGGGAAAUUCUAUUUUUGUUGCACACAUGAUAAUAAAAAACUGGGAUAUAAUUACAGUUUCUCAAAGGCCCUAGAGGAAAACGAU